rnacentral:rRNA from 1 species
GAUAAACGCUGGCGGCGUGCUUAACACAUGCAAGUCGAACGAAGUUUUUCCUUCGGGAGCAACUUAGUGGCGGACGGGUGAGUAACGCGUGGGUAACCUGCCCUGUACAGGGGGACAACAGCUGUAAACGGCUGCUAAUACCGCAUAAGCCCUUAGCACUGCAUGGUGCAUAGGGAAAGGGAGCAAUCCGGUACAGGAUGGACCCGCGUCUGAUUAGCCAGUUGGCAGGGUAACGGCCUACCAAAGCGACGAUCAGUAGCCGAUCUGAGAGGAUGUACGGCCACAGUGGGACUGAGACACGGCCCAGACUCCUACGGGAGGCAGCAGUGGGGAAUAUUGCACAAUGGAGGAAACUCUGAUGCAGCGACGCCGCGUGAGUGAAGAAGUAUUUCGGUAUGUAAAGCUCUAUCAGCAGGGAAGAAAGUGACGGUACCUGACUAAGAAGCACCGGCUAAAUACGUG